rnacentral:lncRNA from 1 species
UUCCACACUGUGGUGGCUUUGUUCUUUCGCUCUUUGCAAUAAAUCUUGCAGCUGCUUACUCUUUGGGUCCACACUGCCUUUAUGAGCUGUAACACCCACCACGAAGGUCUGCAGCUUCACUCCUGAAGCCAGUGACACCACGAACCCACAGGGAGGAACGGACAACUCCAGACGCGCCACCUUAAAAGCUGUAACACACACCGCGAAGGUCCGCAGCUUCACUCCUGAGCCAGCGAGACCACGAACCCACCAGAAGGAAGAAACUCCGAACACAUCCGAACAUCAGAAGGAACAAACUCCAGACAUGCGGACGUGCUGCCUUUAAGAACUGUAACACUCACCGCGGGGGUCCGUGGCUUCAUUCUUCAAGUCAGUGAGACCAAGAACCCACCAAUUCCGGACACAAUAUGACCUAAUUUGGACCUUAAAAUAUUAUUUUAUUUAAAGUAUGGCUUCGAUGAGGAUAAGAAUGGAUAUGGAGAGAUAAUUUAGGAGGAUGGAUUGUCUGGGAGAGAGGUAAUAGUGGGUCAGCUUAGUGGAAGGCAGGAGAUAAUGAAAACAAUGAUGCACGUGAGACAUUUGGAGGUGGAAAUAGCAGAACUUGCCAACUGUUUGGCUAUGUGGGCCAGGAAGAAUUAUGUAUCAAGGAUGUCCUCCAGGAGUAAUUAAAAUAUGGGACUACAGAAAGGAAGCUGGUGGGUAGUGGUGAUCAUAGGAGCUUGUUAGUUAAUCAGUUUAAGAUGUCAUGAAACAUUUAAUUUGAGAUGUUAACUAAAGACUGCUGUUAGCUUUUGGCAACGUGGAGGCCCUAAAGAAGAGCAUCUUCACCUGACAAGUGGGAUCAACAGUAGACUGCAGUGGGUUGAGGCACAAGUGAGAGAUAUGAGGUUGGGGGCAACAUUUAUUGGACUGACAACUUUUUCCAACAUGGAGCUGUGAAGAUGGCAAGAGAAACAUUUUCUUAAAGGGAUACUGGAGAUGGUGUGGUUUGCCUAUAUCCAGAUCAGCUGGUGGCCAAAUGGCGAAACUUUCUGCCUCUGGAGAAGACAUCCGUAGAACUGGUGCCAUGAAUGAAUGUGAUGAAUGCAACUUGAGAGCCAAGUCAAAAGACAUUCUCCAUUAGUCAUCUAUUCACAACUCUGGUUCCAUAGAUAAUCAAGUGGAGCUGAAUCUUUCCUUGAAAGCUU